rnacentral:tRNA from 1 species
UCAUUGGGUGGCUGAAAGUAAGCAUUGGUCUCUUAAACCAAAAUAUAGUAAAGUAACGGAAUACUUCCAAUGAA